rnacentral:lncRNA from 1 species
AUUGGCAGUGGGGCCGCUGGCUGCAGGCAGUGUCCAGUGGGGCAUCAUCAGCCCCAUAAAGCAGGAUGCCUUUUGAGGUCAACGAUUCUGCCUGCGCGGCUGCCCUUUAGUCCUGCCCAUUUCCUAGCGCAGAUCUCUAGCUACGUUUGGUGUGGUGAGACUUUUCCCAUCCUGCCAAUAGUUUCCUUAUUUGUCUCAAGGAGCCAUCAUCGGUUUCUGUUUUUGACAGAAUGCAGACAGUGUGUCAACUGGUACUGGGGGUGGGGUGCAGGCCGUGAGGGGCAUAUGGCACUGAGUGUCUGGUUUUGUUAGGACCAUCUUGGUAGUUAUUCGGGAAUUUGAACCUGGCCGUCGUUGGCACACAGUGACAAAGCAGGAGACUUCAAUUUUGCCCGGAUCACCUGGAAUGAAGCGCCUAGUGAGGGCCAGGCCUUGGUGUCCUCAGUGCCCACAGAACAGCACGAGGCACUGCAGAGCGGCUGAUUCUGCUGGCGCUGGACCUCAAAGACGGAAAAUGAAGCACAAAUCUGUAAACCCUCUCCGCUAGCCAAGACCCGGUAUCGAGAGACUUCUCUCUUGCCACUGAUAACUGGGAAAUCCUCAAACCAAAAGUAGAGUUUGAUCCUGAGCGUUGCUGAAUUACAAUGUCAGUUAAAUUAAGCAGAUCCUCAUGUCUCAUGCUCGAGAAGUAGGACACUGAUCAGUGCGGGACCUUCCCACCCACCCAGGCUUUUCAAUGGACUCAGGAACAAGGGCCAAAACUUCAGGCUUGGACGCUAGGAACCGCCCCCACCCAGAGGACCUCACGUCACCAAGGGAACCCACCUGCUGCCAGGGAAGAAUGCCCGACUUUCCGAUUGCAUCCUGUAACAGAAAGACGGAAAGGAAUAGGAAUGUUUCGAAGUGAACACAGAGGCCAAAGGGAGAGAAAGCCUGGAGGGAGACCACCAAGUGGCUAGUGACUAGCUGAACUUUUCUCCUAGGAAGAAAUUUGAUUCUAAGCUAUAAAUUUGGAUGUAUAGGUGUCAAAAUAUUAACAUUUGUUUAGCUGAUGACAUUACAGUGACCAUAAAUCUCCCUCAUUCCCCGUUCAUCACUUUUCCAUGGAUUGCAUCUUCUCUUCAGGAUACUUCUUCCAUCUGUCAUAUGGAAAGAUGAAGCAAAAGGAGAAAAUGGGGGAAGAAGAGGAGAAAUAAAGGG